rnacentral:rRNA from 1 species
AGCGAACGCUGGCGGCAGGCCUAACACAUGCAAGUCGAACGAACCUUUCGGGGUUAGUGGCGGACGGGUGUGUAACACGUGGGAACGUGCCUUUAGGUUCGGAAUAACUCAGGGAAACUUGUGCUAAUACCGAAUGUGCCCUUCGGGGGAAAGAUUAAUCGCCUUUAGAGCGGCCCGCGUCGGAUUAGCUAGUUGGUUGAGGUAAUGGCUCACCAAGGCGACGAUCAGUAGCUGGUCUGAGAGGAUGAUCAGCCACAUUGGGACUGAGACACGGCCCAAACUCCUACGGGAGGCAGCAGUGGGGAAUCUUGCGCAAUGGGCGAAAGCCUGACGCAGCCAUGCCGCGUGAAUGAUGAAGGUCUUAGGAUUGUAAAAUUCUUUCACCGGGGACGAUAAUGACGGUACCCGGAGAAGAAGCCCCGGCUAACUUCGUG